rnacentral:tmRNA from 1 species
GGGGCCGUAAUGGUUUCGACAGGGACUUUGCGGUAUGAUAAGCGCAGCGGGCAGGAAGAUCCCGUAAAACCGUCCGACUUAAAUAAUAAACGACAACAACAGAGUUGCUGUAGCGGCGUAAGCCGUGUCGCGGCAUUUUCAUGCCGCCCGUACCGUCGGAGAGGACUACGGCUCCGACCGUGCGUCAAAUGAGUAGUGAACAUGCACCGAUACUUCGCCCUUGCGUCGGUCAUGGAGAAAAGGGCUACCCGACCUGAGAGCCUGUCACCCGGCGCUCCCCGAGGGGAAAUUUCAAAAGAGUGACUGUCUGCGGAGAAAGUCAUAUCAACGGGUUUUUGGACACGGGUUCGAUUCCCGUCGGCUCCACCA